UUGACAAAAAUUAAGAACCAACAAGAACAAUAUAUGUGAGGAAGAAUUAGUCAACAAGAAGAUUAUCAUGCUUCAAAGUAUCUAUGUUUCUCUAUAAAUACAUAUUCUUCAAGAGAUGAUAAAUGUGCUUCCCAUCCUAAACUUGCAAUUUGUAUAGUAAUUUUUAAAAGAAAAAUGGAACUUGUCUACAAAUUGAAGUCAUUUGUUUCUGUUUUAGCAAUACUUUUAUUACUCAUGUCAUCUAUGAUGGUUAUUGAUGCUCAAUCCAGUUUCAAACAUGGGCGAAAACUUUUCCAGAAUCCUGCGCCUACUUACAAGACCGGAGAAUAUGGGGGAUAUGUCUCAUAUCCUCCGUGACUCUUCUCAUAUUCUUUUUUUUUCUUAAUUUUUUUUCUUUAUUUUAAUUUUAAUACUUCCAUUUAUUAUAAAACUAGUUUAUAAUAAAGGAAAACUGAAAUUAAAAGAGAGAAAUAAAAAGAUUAAGAAAAGAAUGAAGAGAGAAAGACAAGAUCCAGACCAGUUAAAUAUACUACUUAUCUAUAUAGCUUUUGAUAUAUUUACUAAAUAAGGAGUUAUACAUUAUUUGUAUUUUAUGUGAUAGUAAAAUUAUAAUAAUUUGACAUUGUCCAA